rnacentral:tRNA from 1 species
GACAGGAUGGCCGAGUGGUUAAGGCGGCAGUUUUGAAUUAUCCAAAUAAUCUAAAUUGGUUUACAAUCAGCUGCUUCACUUUGUGAGCGUGAGUUCAAACCUCACUCCUGUCG